CUGGUUUGUCAGUUUUUUACUGUUAUGUGUUACCCUCUGUAAAUAAAUUUCUUACUUACUUACUUACUUACUAAUGACUUAAGUCUUGUUAUUUGUGGAUAUGGAAUUUCCAAGGGGUAGGGAGACCCAAGUGGAAAAAUCAUGGAAAUUCCAGGGGGUGGGAGAGUACCAUGAGCCCCAUGGAACGGGAAAUCCUGCAAGGUGGAGGAUCAACCUGGAACUGGAAAUAUCCAUACCCCCGUGGGUGGUAUGGAUAUUUUCUGGAACCACACAUUAAGUGUUUCUAAAUGUUUUAUUGUAGAAGGUUAAAUUCAAAAGGGAAAUCAAAGAGAUUUAGAUAAUCUAAGCUCUGUAUUAUUAAUUAAUUAAGUAAUUAACUAAUUAAUUGUCAUUAUAUUUGCCUAUUAAAUUGAUACAAUUAUCCUUAUGAAAUAAAAUAAUUUCAGACUACAGAGAUUUGGGCUAUAGUAAGAUGAAAUUUCAGCUGAAAUUACAAGUGGAGUUUUUGAAUUUCAUCUCACCCUGGAUAUAUCAUUUUUACCUAAGAGAACAUUGAAGGUCGAGCUUAGUGAGAUGAGAUAUUGUGACAAUAUAAUUUUACAAGAAUGAUAUUUUAACGAGAUAUCGCAGGAAUCGCUGAUAUCUCAUGAAAUUAUCUUUGUGACGUGUGACUUAUAUGAGUGACAUAUUGCCAAGAUAUCCGCAAAAUAUUGCCAAAAUGGCACAAUAUUUGGCAUUAUCAUUUGUAUUACUUUUGUUUAGUACUGUAAAUUUCAUAGACAAUAGCAAAAUGCCAACUACUAGAAAGGUCAGAUAUGAUAUUUUCAGUCCUAACAUGGUAUAUCUUAGGGCUCCUAUCACAGGGACAGGUAUAUAAUGUGGAGCUAUCUACCAACUACACCUAGCUUUUCUUAUAGGGAGAAGGUUCAUGGGAGACAGUGCUUGUCAAGGCAGAGAAUGUGGAGGACUAUCGACUUAAAGGAACCAAAAAGGAUGAUGUUGCCUUGCUCUUGAAACUGAGGCAUGCUGCAUCAGAGCUUGUUACCUUUGGACCUGAUGAUACCAGUCAAUACGUAAAAUUUGCAUUCAAUGCAAGCUGAAAGAUUUUUGGAGAUCCCAACAUUGAAAACACUGGUAUUGAUUCAGAUGUAAGCUUAACACCUUCCACUAAAGCUUCCGUUACCAUUGCUCCAGUGCACAUCAAGAGCAGCAACACAAAUAAGGCAUACAUGUAUGGAACACCUACACCUAUUGUCACAUUGCAGUUAGCGAAUGUAAUUCUGUGGUUAAAGGCAAAGGAGUUGUUUGGUUAAAAGCACUGUCAAGAAACCUGGUCCUCUGUUAAAUAAAGCAGUCGUGCACAGAAUUUCCAGCAGAGGUGGUGAGGGAAUCGUUUAAAAUGGACAGGAUCUUGAACGCUCUUGAUGGCACCGAAGAUGACGAGGUCUACCCUGUCAGAUGAUAUGCCCAAACUAGUGGAUGAGGAUGAGUUUUGAGACCCACAGCCAAGAACAAGACGACUGAAAACUCCAUUGGUGAAGUAACCAAAACAAAACAAAGGAGCCAUAACUUAAAUAAAAGUUUGUGACCAACAGCAAUUAUUUAUGCAAGCCAAAUAGUUUGUUUGUUAGUAAUUGCUUGACUUAUAGCUGAAUAUAAACAUUCAAUUGAGGUUCUUGUAACGCUAGCAAAUUUUUUGGCAGAAAUAUUUGGCUAUAAGCCAAACCCCCUAUCUGGUGGAGAUUUCACUAGUUCCUGGUUUAAUUUGGUGCAAAGAUUGAUCAGCUGAUUGGCGAAUAAAUACAGUAGAUACCUAUUUAUAUAAUAGGCCCCUCUGCUUCUUUUUGUUCUUUUUUGUGUGUGUCCACCCUUUGCAUUUAGGUGAUUUUUUUCUUUUUGAUGUGAAAUUGUAAUACUAACAUCAUUGUAACUCUUCGCUUGUAACUACAACUACAAAUAAAAAGAAUAAGAUACAAAAAGAAAUAAAUAAAUACUACAUGUUCAACUAUUUUGCAAAGUGCCAGUAAAACAGAAAGCAAAGUCACGUUUUCCUUAAUGUAUAUUGCAUGCUCUGCAUCUGAGAGAAGACAACUACGAGUGGUGUGCCGAAAUGACGAGACCAUAUUCAGGUCAAAUUGAAAAUUCAGAUAAUUUCCUUUUUCAUGUGGGCUUUCAAAUGAGAAAAGAAAUUUAUGUUAUGGGCACUUAAACCCUUUGACUGCCAAAUUUUCACAAAAAAUGUCAUUUUAACCAUUAAAUCAGUUUUUGGCUGCCAUGAUGCUAAAUAUGCCUUUGGUUUGCUGAGAAAGCUAUUUUUUACCAAAAAAGAUAGAUUUCUCCAAGAUUAGGUACAAAAAUGUACAAUAUUUUAAUU